AACGAACGCUGGCGGCAUGCCUAACACAUGCAAGUCGAACGCCCGUAGCAAUACGGGAGUGGCAGACGGGUGCAUAACACGUGGGAACCUACCCUUGGGUUCGGAAUAACCGCGGGAAACCGCGGCUAAUACCGGAUACGUCCUCUGGGAGAAAGAUUCAUCGCCCUUGGAGGGGCCCGCGUCGGAUUAGCUAGUUGGUGAGGUAACGGCUCACCAAGGCGACGAUCCGUAGCUGAUCUGAGAGGAUGAUCAGCCACACUGGAACUGAGACACGGUCCAGACUCCUACGGGAGGCAGCAGUGGGGAAUAUUGGACAAUGGGCGCAAGCCUGAUCCAGCAAUGCCGCGUGGGUGAUGAAGGCCUUCGGGUUGUAAAGCCCUUUUGGCAGGGACGAUGAUGACGGUACCUGCAGAAUAAGCCCCGGCUAACUUCGUGCCAGCAGCCGCCGUAAGAC
rnacentral:rRNA from 1 species